AUCCUCCCCAGCCCUGACAUACAGAGUGUAUGAUGUUAUAUCCAGGGGCCCCAUUCUCCCCAGGCCUGACAUACAGAGUGUAUGAUGUCAUAUCCAGGGGCCCAUCCUCCCCAGCCCUGACAUACAGAGUGUAUGAUGUCACAUCCAGGGGUCAAUCCUCUCCAGCCCUGACAUACAGAGUGCAUGAUGUCAUAUCCUCCCCAGCCCUGACAUACAGAGUGCAUGAUGUCAUAUCCAGGGGCCCCAUCCUCCCCAGCCCUGACAUACAGAGUGUAUGAUGUCAUAUCCUCCCAAGCCCUGACAUACAGAGUGCAUGAUGUCAUAUCCAGGGCCCAUCCUGCCCAGACCUGACAUACAGAGUGCAUGAUGUCAUAUCCAGGGGCCCAUCCUCUCCAGCCCUGACAUACAGAGUGCAUGAUGUCAUAUCCUACCCAGCCCUGACAUACUGAGUGUAUGAUGUCAUAUCCUCCCCAGCCCUGACAUACAGAGUGUAUGAUGUCAUAUCCAGGGGCCCAUCCUCCCCAGCCCUGACAUACAGAGUGCAUGAUGUCAUAUCCAGGGGCCCAUUCUCCCCAGCCCUGACAUACAGAGUGCAUGAUGUCAUAUCCAGGGGCCCAUUCUCCCCAGCCCUGACAU